rnacentral:rRNA from 1 species
GACGAACGCUGGCGGCGUGCCUAAUACAUGCAAGUAGAACGCUGAAGGCGUCGCUUGCUUCUCUGGCUGAGUUGCGAACGGGUGAGUAACGCGUAGGUAACCUGCCUGGUAGCGGGGGACAACUAUGGGAAACGAUAGCUAAUACCGCAUAACCUUAGAUAUCGAUUGUUAUCUACAUGAAAGCUGCAAUUGCGUCACUACCAGAUGGAGCGGCGUUGUAUUAGCUAGUUGGUGAGGUAACGGCGCACCAAGGCGACGAUGAAUAGCCGGCCUGAGAGGAUGAUCGGCCACACUGGGACUGAGACACGGCCCAGACUCCUACGGGAGGCAGCAGUAGGGAAUCUUCGGCAAUGGACGGAAGUCUGACCGAGCAACGCCGCGUGAGUGAAGAAGGUUUUCGGAUCGUAAAGCUCUGUUGUAAGAGAAGAACGAGUGUGAGAGUGGAAAGUUCACACUGUGACGGUAUCUUACCAGAAAGGGACGGCUAACUACGUG